rnacentral:lncRNA from 1 species
ACGUGGAUCAGGUAGGUCAAUUUGCAGCAAAACCUUAUGAAAUUAGAGGUAGAUGAAAUCUUGUCAGUAGUUAAACAUUUGUAUCUUCGGUCUUGUUUGCUUGUCUUCAGGUAACAUUGCUGACAAGAACCGCAACUAACCCACCGUUUUCUCCAUUGGAAUAAGAGAAUAAUCCAGAGGCAGUUCAUCUGGAGAGCCAUAAGCAAGGCAAACCGUCUCCAUCCUGCCCUGCACAAAUGAAGCCACCUAUCCUGCUCUCUCUGCAAUAUCGAGUCUGUACUGGGGGGCAUUGCCACAAUGCACGUGGUUUUCAUCACUGCUAAGAAGGGAAGCUUCUUGGUAUGAGAGAAGAGAUGCACGUCUGUGACCACAUCCCACCGUUGCAGGCAGUGACAGCCGGCAGCUGCUGCUCUCUGCAAUCUAUUGCCCAGGUGUACCUUCUGCAUGGUUUCACAGCCAGCUUGUCCCGGAGAAAUCAUGGGAGAAUGGGAUCAGGUUUACUUCUAAGCCAGGCAUAACCCUCUGCAGCCACGAACAACACAGAGACUGUACCAGCACCCAGGUAAUCUACCCCCCAUUCAAGUGUGAAAUCCUAGCUGUGCUCCUCUGGGAAGUAUUUAGGGGACAGUGG